CUAAGCGCGUUAACAGGAACCAGUAAAUUGGAAGACAUGCGCAAGAGAGUGGAAUCCACCGGCUGAAAGAUUCCAUCGUCAUGAACCAAUUGAACCUACUCCUCGAGCUGUCAGAUGAAACCUGACCGUUUACCCACGUUACGGGAUCUAAGAGAGCCUCAUCAAAAGAUGAUGCUAAUCAAGGUGGUACCGCGGAUAACAGACUCUUUCCGUCCUUAUA
rnacentral:ncRNA from 1 species